AUUGAACGCUGGCGGCAGGCUUAACACAUGCAAGUCGAGCGGGGAAAGGUAGCUUGCUACCUAACCUAGCGGCGGACGGGUGAGUAAUGCUUAGGAAUCUGCCUAUUAGUGGGGGACAACAUUCCGAAAGGAAUGCUAAUACCGCAUACGCCCUACGGGGGAAAGCAGGGGAUCUUCGGACCUUGCGCUAAUAGAUGAGCCUAAGUCAGAUUAGCUAGUUGGUGGGGUAAGGGCCUACCAAGGCGGCGAUCUGUAGCGGGUCUGAGAGGAUGAUCCGCCACACUGGGACUGAGACACGGCCCAGACUCCUACGGGAGGCAGCAGUGGGGAAUAUUGGACAAUGGGCGAAAGCCUGAUCCAGCCAUGCCGCGUGUGUGAAGAAGGCCUUUUGGUUGUAAAGCACUUUAAGCGAGGAAGAGGCUACUUGGAUUAAUACUCUAGGAUAGUGGACGUUACUCGCAGAAUAAGCACCGGCUAACUCUGUGCCAGCCGCCGCCGUAACAC
rnacentral:rRNA from 1 species